rnacentral:rRNA from 1 species
GGUUGACCUCGGAUCAGGUAGGAAUACCCGCUGAACUUAAGCAUAUCAAUAAGCGGAGAAAAAAAAAACC